rnacentral:pre_miRNA from 13 species
UGGCUGUGAGGUGUUCUUGUCAUUGUGAUUUGAGGCUAAAAUCACUGAGAAAUCACAUUGCCAGGGAUUCCCAUACAGCC